UACGUAGGGGGCGAGCGUUGUCCGAAGUUACUGGGCGUAAAGCGCGCGUAGGCGGGUUGGCAAGUCUGCUGUGAAAGCCCGGGCUUAACUCCGGAGGGUCGGUGGAUACUGCCAGUCUUGAAGGUGCUAGGGAGAGAUGGAAUUACCGGUGUAGCGGUGAAAUGCGUAGAUAUCGGUAGGAACACCAGUGGCGAAGGCGGUCUCUUGGGGCAUUCUUGACGCUGAGGCGCGAAAGCUGGGGAGCGAACGGG
rnacentral:rRNA from 1 species